AGAUGGACAAGACUCAGAUGACAGAGCAGCUCCAGUCAUAGCAUUCAUCAAUGGAGAAAACCGUGAUGAUCAGACCCCUACAAGUCCAGCCCAAGGAGACUCAGGUGCAGACUCAGCUGACACCACAAAUCAGCCAGACAAGAGCUCAGAAGAGGAGUCAGACGCUGGGGACAAAGACAAAGACGCAGAAAUGAAGG